rnacentral:lncRNA from 1 species
CUGACCAAUUCAAAUGAAUAAUUUAAAAAAUAAUGAGCAACAAUCUUGAAAUUCAUAUCUUCUCUAUUUUUUCUAUUUCCAUUUCAUAUUUAAAAGCAAUAGGGUUUAAUCUUUGGUUAAUGAUUUAGUUACCUUUGUAGGUCUACCAUCUUGAAACUGGAAAAAGUGUUUUUGUUGUUAUUGUCUGCUUUACUGAAAAAAAAAAACUGCAAUAUUGAUAUCCUGAUUUUUAAAUUAUUUUUAAUAUGUUUAACCAAAUCAUAUGAAAGCUCUUUAACAUUUAUAAUAUUAAAUAUUAUAUUUGAAAAUAUGAUUUUUAUUCUUAAAUGUGGGGUAAACAAUUCAUAUUACUUAUGAAUGAAUAUAGAUAUAUUGAUUGAGAAAACAAACAGCAAAAGAGCAGAGUCAUUUUUUACAAAAUUCAUAAAGCUUUCCCUUAAUACAAACUAAUAAAAAUGAAAAAUUAAAAAGAAUUAAUAAUAAGACCAGGGAACAGAGGAGCAGGAUUAAAAGGCAGUUCAGAUGAUCCUACAUUUUCUGCAGAUAAUGUCAUACAUGCCCACCUCCAACUUGACCCUUAGAAAACUUUGCAACUUUCUGAUUCAGGUAGUUAAAUUGUAGAAGCUUGUUGAACUUUUAAUACUUUAGUCUACUAGCUUGGGCCAUUUGAAAACUUACUGAUCUAGGCUUAUUAUAAUAAAUUUACCUUACAUUUAUAAAAUUAUUUUUUUCAAAUCAAUUUAUCCAUUACUACAGGAGAAAUACAGUAUGGAUAUUCUGGUGAUUCCUAAUUGAAUAGUGAUGAAAGCAGGAAAAUUAGAUGACUUCUUACAGGAAAGCAAAGAGUAAUCAAGCACUUUUAAUUACUAGACAUACACUAUCAGAAGGAGAGGAGUUAUGUAAACCCUUCCUUAUGGAAGAAAUGAGAAAUCACAAAGGCAGAAAAAGCAAUAUUUAAUUUUAAGUGUGUCUUACUACUGCCUAAAAUGUCCUUUUCCAACAAAAUAUUUUAAAUCCUUUUGCUAGUGAAGUGAAAAUUGAUCCCCACUUUUUCUUAUUUUAUUUGUAAAAUAGUAGACCUCUAGUAACAUAUAUAAAAUUGUUGUGGCAAGCAUUUAAGGGGGAACAGUGAAGUUCUAUUCAUCAAAAAUCUAGUAUUAUGUUUUAUCAUAUUAAUUAUAUUUAAAAAUCUCAAAUAGCUUUUUAAAUUCCUAAUCCAAUUUUAAUAAAAAUUAUUAUAUUAAUAAUCUCAUUGACAAUGGGAUGUCUGUGAUGAAUUCAAUAAAGAAAAUGUUAUAAUUUGUAACAGAUUUAAUUAUAAGUACAAUUUAAGAGUAUGGCUUAUUAGUGAUAGAACCUUUCCAUAGAUAUGUUCAAGGAAGGUAUCAGAAAAUAGAUACUGAUUCUAUGAAUAUACAUUAAUCAACAAUAUUUCCUGUACAAGGCAAAUUUUUAGUUUAUGCCUAAAAGUAUUAAUAUUAGAAUUUUAAGUGGUUAAAUGAAUUAGGGGUAAAAUAUGUUAAUUUAUUGUAAUAUUCCUUGGAGUUUACAUUUUGGGGCCUCUUUCAGGUGAUCAGUGGAUUCUUUCAGUGGUGUUUUACCUAGGACAUUAGGGAAAUUUCCCUUGAUAAUUCCUUUUUUAUAAUUAAAAUUAUUUUUAAAAUAUAUUUUGCUUUAUGAAUCAUGUUGAGAGAGAAAAAUCAGAGCCAAAAUGAAAAACCAUGGGAGAGAAAAAAAAAAAAACAGAAAAAAGAAGUGAAUAUACCAUGUAUUGAUUUACAUUUAAUCUCCAUAGUUCUAUUUCUGGCAGUAGAUGCCAUUUUCUUUUAAAGUCUAUUGGGAUUGUUUUGGAUCAGUUAACCACUGAGAAGAACCAAGUCUUUCAUAUUUAAUCACUGAACAUUCUUACUCUUACUCUGGUUCUGCUUGUUUUGCUCAGCAUCAGUUCAUGUAAAUCUUUCCAGCCUUUCUAAAAUUAGCUUAAUAAUCAUUUUUAUACAACAAUACCUUUAUAUAACCACAGCUUGUUCAACCAUUCCCAAAUUGAUGGGCAUCUACUUAUUUUUCAAUUCUUUGAAACUACAAGAAAUGCUGCUACAAAAAUAUUUCUACAUGUAGGUCCUUUUCCCUCUUUUAUGAUUUCCUUGGGAUACAAACUCAAUAAUGGUACUGCUGGGUCACAGGGUAUAUGCAGUUUGAUUGCCCUUUGGGCACAAUUCCAGAUUGCUCUACAGAAUGGAUGCAUUAUUUCAAAACUCUACCAACAAUGCAUUCGUGUCCCAGUUUUCCCACAUACUCUCCAAUAUUUAUCAUUAUCUUGUCCUGUCAUCUUAGCCAAUCUGAGAGAUGUGAGGUGCCUCAGAGUUUUUAAUUUGGAUAUCUCUAAUCAAAAGUGAUUAAGAGCGGUUUUACACAUGACUAUAAAUGGUUUUAAUUUUGUCAUCUGAUAAUUCUGUUCUUAACCUUUGACUAUUUUCAAAUGGGAAAUAAUGUCUAUUCUUACAAAUUUGAUACCAUUCUUUAUGUAUUUCAGAAAAGAGAACUUUGUCAGAAACACUGGCUGUAAAGAUUUUCUUCCCCAGCUUUGUACUUUCCUUUUAACCUUGGUCUUAUUGGUUUUGUUUUUUGCAAAAAUUUUUUAAUAUUAUGUAAUUGUGUCUAUUUUGCCUUUCAGAAUGUUUUCUAAUUCUUCUUUGGUCAUAAAUUCCUUCCUUUCCCAAAGAUCUGAUAGGAAAAUUAUCCCACUGCUCUACUAAUUUAUUUAUGCUAUCAUAUUUAUACCCAAAUUAUGUACCCGUUUUGACCUUAUUUUGUUAUGCAGUAUAGAAUCCUGGUAUAUGCUGAGUUUGUGACAUUAUUUUCCAGAUUCCCUAGUAAUUUCUAUCAAAUACUGAGUUCUUAUUCCAAAAGCUAGACUUUGGGGGUUUAUCAAAUACUAGAUUUAGACCUUGAUUUUUAUCAUGUGUUUCUAAUCUAUUCCACUGAUCCACUACUCUAGCCAACAUAAAAUGUUUUUGAUGACUGCUGCUUUAUAUUAUAGUUUUAGUUUUUGUAUUGCUAAGCCACCAUUUCUUGUAUUUUUUCCAUUAAUUUCUGUGAUUUUCUUGACAAAUCAACUCCAAUUCUAAAUUCUCAUUCAAUUGAGGAAUCCUGAUCUGAUCAGCUCAGGCUGUCCCAGUACCACACCAGGAUACCCAAUCCCUCAACUAAGGUCUUUGCAGAUGUCCCAUGCACUUUGCUAGGACCCUGUCCACUGAGAAAAACUCCAUUAAAAUAAAAAUCUGCCACUAUAGAAGUCAGUCCCUUGUAAACUGAUUUCUAUCCAACAAUAAACUUUUAUUUUGCAACUAAUAAUUUGGAAAUGAGUGAAUUCUUUCACUCUGAACCUGUGGAUAAUUUAAAGGGGAUAUUUAAUAACUCUCUUAUUUCCACUAACCUCUUGACUACAAGGAAUUGAGAGCAUUCAAACUGCAUCACUAUCACACCUCCUUCUUUUCUUGUGUUUUUAUAAUGCAUCUUAUCUACUAUCUUUAUUUCAUCACUCCUUCACCUCUUCUUUUAGUUUUUUCUUGUUUUUUUUUUUUUUUUGCCCUUCCUUCUAAUUUCCCUCUCCUUUUUUGUCCUUUUUCUCCUCCUAUUUCUUUAUAAGGUUAUUAAAUUUUUUUAAUCCAAUUGAAUGAUUUAAAUUAUUCCCCCUUCUGAGCCAAAACUGAUGAGACUGAUAUUCACAUAACGUGCAUUCCCCCUCUUUUUCCCCUGGAUUUUAAUAGGUCUUUUGCACUUCUUAAUGUGAUUGAAUUUUUAAUUUUCCCAUUAUACUUCCUUGUUCCUCUUUUUUUCCCAGUACAUUUUUUUCCAGCCAUUACUGUUUUUUUCUUUGAUAUCAUCAAAGUUCAUUCAAAACCAUAGCCUUCUUUCAUAUGAUGCCUCUCCUCUGCCCCAAUGACAGAUAAGAGAUCUCAAGAGUUACAGGUAUCUUUUUUCCCCUCUAGGCAUGUAAACAAUUUAGCCUUUAAAUAUUAGACAUUUUUCUCCUGUUUAGUUUUCUAUGCCUCUCUUGAGGCCUGUGUUUGUAGAUUAAAUUUUCUGUUCAGUUCUGGUUUUUUUUAAUAGAAUGAUCGAAAGACUUUUACUUUACUGAAGAUCCAUUGCCUUUCAUGAAAGAUGGCCUUCAGGUUGGCCAUUACUUUUAAAUUGUCUCUUCCACAUAUAUUUCUAGGUUGGUCAUUUUUUUCCAAUGAGAUAUGUCACAUUUUCUUCCAUUUUUUCAUUCUUUGUAGUUUGUUUCAUUGAUUCUUGCUGUAUCAAUCAGUCAUUAUCUUCUAUUUUACCCAUUCUAGUUUUUAAUUUGUGAUUUUCUUCACAUAGCAUUUUUUUAUUUGAGUAAUUUUACUUUUGAAAAUGUUUUCUUCUGGGGAUUUUUUUUUUCAUUUGGCCAAUUGUAUUUUUAAGGAGUUGUUUUCUUCAGUUUCUUUGGGCUUGAGGCCAUUUCAUAUCACUCUUUGAAAUUUCCUCUGUGGAUAUUUGGUCCUUGUCUGAGUUGUUGUUUUGAUCUUCCCUGAAACCGAAGUAGUUUUUUUAUGUUCUUGGCUUCCCCUUGAUGAUUUCUUGAAAAAUUGUUGUCUAAACUCUUUCUAUCAUCAUGGUUUCCAGGUAGCCCAAUAAUUUUUAGAUUUUCUCCUGGAUCUAUUUUUCAUGUGAGCUGUUUUUCCAAUGAAGUAUUCUUCUAUUUUUCUUAUAUUUUUUCCAGUUUUUUGCUUUGCUAUGAUUAAUUCUUGAUAUCUCAUAGAAUCAUUCAUUUCCAUUUAUUCAAUUCUAAUUUUUAGUGUUUUCUUAAGUUAGCUUUCUUAUCUCCUUUUGUAUUUGGCCAAUUGAAAUUACAAUUGAGUUGUUUUGUUUGUUUUUCCCCCAUUUCACAAAUUCUCUUUUUCAAAGAGUUGUUUUUAUUUACCAUUUCAAUAAAACUUUUUUAAGUAGUAGUUUUCUUCAGACAAAUUCUGUUUUUCCUUUUCUAAAGCUCUCAUUUCCUAUCUCCAUUUUCCCUAAUAACUCUCUUUUAAGAUCCUUUUUGAUUCUUCCAAUAGAAUCUUUUGAAUUGGAGACUAACUUUUAUCAUCUUUUGAGGUUUCACCUGGAGGCGUUUUGCCUCUAGUGUCUUCAGGGUUUGAGAUCUGUUCUUCCCUAUCUCCAUAAAUCCCAUCUAUGGUCAGAAUUCUUUUUGCUUUUAAUUUUUAAAGGUUGAGGUCUGCUCUUCUAUAGCUAACAGUAACCUCACACUUCCCUGGGGCCAGCACUCCUGGAUUCCUUCCAGGACUGUGCACAUGUGGCCAAACCCCACUUGUUAUGUUGGGUUUCAGGGUCUCACUAUUUGCCUUCUUUAAUUGCAUUGAAGGUCUCACAAGUAGCCUCCUGAUUCACUGGUUUCUCAAUCAGGUCAGAGUAGUUAAUACUGCAGUAUUUUGGCUAAGAGACUCCCAGUAGAUUUACCUAGUGUGCAGAGGCCACUCAGACCUGGGUCCCUGUACUGUGCCUGUGCUGGGUCGCCUCCAUGCCACCCUAACAUUUUGAUAGUUCUUCCUAAAUAUCUUAUAUAGGAUAUCUGUUAUAUACUAUAUUUUUGUGGGUUCCAUCCCUUCAAACCAGUUCAGAGGCUUGAUCUGGUACUAACCUAAGGGAAACCAGUAAGAACUCAAAGACGUAUCUGACAUAUUGGCUCUGCCUCCUUUAAUCUUUUUUAGAAACUGCUAUAGUAAUAUAUCUAAAUAGGGAGAAGCAUUAGUUACUUUAUUCUGUAUGAAUUUAGCUGACUUGUUUCAGACCUUCCACUCUGUGGGAUAGAAUCUAAGAAUACCAUAUUAUGCUGCAAAAUAUGGCAUGACAUUUUUAGCUUAUUUAUGUUUAAAUGGGGAGAAAGAAUAUAAGAGUCAUGUUGGUUACUCACAUAAUCUUUACUAGAUAACCUAAUAUCUAUUUGGCUCUAUAUACAAGUACAUUUUAUGUGUUUUAUAUAUAAAAUACAUCAGGGAGUAGAGGGAACUCUAAAUUCUCAGUCUGAGUGGACACAAAGAGUACUCUUACAGGUCCUAACCAGCUGGAAAACCUAGAUAAAAAGUUAUCAUUUACAGCUAGAAGUCAUGGGUUUAAAACCCACUUGUGAUACAUACUACCUGAUUGAUUCUACCCAGUUUGCUUAGCCUCAAUUUACUAAUUCACUUAAAAUAUAACUUGCAGAGAAAUUACCUAUCAAUGAAAGAAAUUUUUAUCACUGUUUCCAUACAAAUGAAAUCUCAUAUCUAGUUGAACACAAUGAAGCAAACUGGCAGCAUUGUGUUGGAUGGUUUGGAGAAAGUAAAUUUUGGAGAAUAGUUAUAAAUCAAGUAAUAAAAUAAUAUACCCAGUGAAAUGGGCAAAUGAUCACUUCUUAGUUCUUUCCCUUAGACUCAUAUGAUGGAUGAGAGAAAACAAAAAGGAAGUGCUUAUUUCAUUUCCUAACUGAAUAUUUAUAUUAAAUUUUGCAGUCAAAAGUCAGAAGAAAUAAUAGUUCUUCAUUGUACGUCAUAAGUUUUGUUUUUAUUUUUUGCUUCCCUUUCAAGGAAGGGUUGAAAAGAGAAAAUACAUUGGUUUGCUGUUCAUUAACACAUUUCUUUUAGGGAUUGUAGAGGUCUACAUUGUUUUAGACCUCUUGUCCAUGGAGAAGAGGUAGAAAUAUGUUAAUCAUAUUAAACAGGACGUCUAUGGAUUUCCCUUAUUUAUAGAAUGGAACAAAUUAAGCCAUGCCAUGUCAUGUUGCAUUUGGCAGUACUACAUCUCCAAAUAGUCUGAACUGUGGUGAAAAAGGUCAUCUUUUUCAAUGUGGUCUUUUUGCAGUCUACUUCCAUUAAAAAAAAGUCUGGAUUAAUCAUAUUAUGACAGCUUUUUCCUUCUAUUUUUGGUAUCUGCUAGAGAUAUUGUGCUCUUGUCAGUGUGAAGCAGUGAAUGUAAUCAAAUCACUGAGAGAUAUCUUAAUACUUUAAGACCACCUCUUUAUACCCAUUUCAUUCUACUUAGAGACAUUCAUCUACAGCACAAUUCUAUUUAAAGCAUAUGCUUCACACUGACAACAAAUUGUAAAAGUGCUUUGAAAUUAAGCUUUUCAUAUUACACAUUAUAGAAAUGUUUUCAAAUUAUGAUUUUUACAUUCUAUUUAUAUAGUACGUUUUAAUUGUAUUUUGAUUUUUUUCUACAAUAGCAAAAGAAAGUUAUGCAGAAGAUUAUAUAAACAGCCUCUCUGACACCCCAGGACCUGCCAAUCACUUGCCAAGAACAAAUAAUGAAUUGGAUUUUGAUACGGAGGUGAAAGAAAAAAAACCAAAGCACCAAUAUAAUGAAACAUUGAAGAGAAAACAUGGUAAGAAUUUGACUGAAAAGAGAAGAGCUGGCAAACAAUUAUUUUCUAUGGAGAUUAAUCAGCAUGAUAAAGAUGAGGGAAAUAAAAUUCCUGGGGAAGAAAUUCCAAUAACAAGCAUUUCCUCUAAGGGAAAUUUAGCACCUGUGCAUGAUGUUUUAAAAGGGUCUGCAAAGAUUACAUUAAAUGAAAACAAGGAUGAAGUGGAAAUGGGUACAGAUACUCUUGAUAGCUUCACUCUGGUCACAGGCACAGAGGAUUUUUCUACCUCAAAUUAUGUUCAAGGUGCUUCUUGCCUUUGGGAAGGUCAGAACAGAGUUCUUGCAAGUGAGUUAUCAGUGAAAUGUAAAAACUCACGAAUGGUAAGAUUUGCAAGUAAAGUUUUGGCUUUUGAAAACAUAGAGAACUGUGCACUACAGGAAACAUUCUCAGAAAGCAGAAUAACUGAAUCUCAACAAAAGCAUCAAAAAGUAGAAUGUGAGAACAGGUUUGCAAAGAUUACAGUAAUUGGAAACAAGGAUAAAGUGGAGAUGUGUACAGAUACUUUUGAUAACCUCACUCUGGACACAGAUUCUUGCCUUUGGGAAGAUCAGAACAGAGUUCUUGCAGCUCAGUUAACAGUAAAUUUUAAAAAGUCACAACAGAUAAAACUCACAAGGGAUGUUAUGAUUUUAGAAAACACAGGGACCUAUAGACUACAGGAAACAUUCUCAAAAAGCAGCAUAACUGAAUCUCAACAAAAGCAUCAAAAAGUACAAUGUGAGAGCAGGUUUGCAAAGAUUCCAGUAAUUGGAAACAAUAAGGAUGAAGUGGAGAUGGAUAAAGAUACUCAUGAUGACUUCACUCAAUCACAUGACACAGACACUCUUCUUAAAAGUUACUUACCAGUAAAAUAUAAAAAAUCACAAUGGAAACAACUCGGAAGAAGAGUUAGGAGAUUAGAACAUUCACUUAAGGGACUACAGGAAAAAUUAUCAGAAAGAAGAAAAACUAAAUCCCCACUAAGGCAUCAAAAAGUGAAAUGUGAUAGAGAACUCUAUGGAGACAGAUUGGAAGGUGAAAAACAAAACAGAGAAAAACUACAGACAGAAAUUAAUUACCCUAAUUACCCUACCUGUGCAAAUUCUGCCACAUUUCAUCAGGAAUCUCAGACAAUAAAACUAAACUUUCAGCAAGCACGAGACCAGUGGCUUCUUUUAAAGAACCAACUAAUAGAGAAGAUUGACAAACUGUCAAGUCAGCUUUCUAAAGUUGAAAAGGAGAAAAACCAACUAUGUGAAACCCUUAAAAUGACAACAUUAAUAUUAGAAGAAACACAGAGAAAAUUAAAGAAGAACAAGGAUAAAAUAAAAGAACUUAAAUACAAAAAUCAUAUACUAAAGAAAAAAUCAAACAGAUCAUUUUUCACAAAAGAGUCCAGGCAAGAAUUAACCCAAAUGCCAAGGGAAAUUCAUGUGCUUCAACAACCAUUUGAAGAUGCCCAAAAUGAAGGGGUCUUCAAAAUACAGGUAUCCGAUGAUAUCCAGGUGAAGUUUAACGAUCGUUCCAAUACUCUUAUUGCUAGCAUUAAAAAACAAGAUCAUGUGGAAAAAGAGAGAAAAAAGAAAGAGGAAGAAGAGUCAGCUGAUGAAUAUUUGCAUAUAAUGGAACAAAUAUAUAAAAAUGAACAGGCAAGAGAAGAGGGUACCAUAAGAAAGUUUCAACAAGUACUCAGAGAUUCCAAAAAUGAACCAUCUAUGAAUUCACAACUGCUUACAUCACAUCAUCAGAGAGUUUUGGAAUGGAAAAAGCAACUACAGAAGGAAUUAGA